rnacentral:rRNA from 1 species
GCAGUAGCCGCGGUAAUACGUAGGGUGCAAGCGUUAAUCGGAAUUACUGGGCGUAAAGCGUGCGCAGGCGGUUAUAUAAGACAGAUGUGAAAUCCCCGGGCUCAACCUGGGAACUGCAUUUGUGACUGUAUAGCUAGAGUACGGCAGAGGGGGAUGGAAUUCCGCGUGUAGCAGUGAAAUGCGUAGAUAUGCGGAGGAACACCGAUGGCGAAGGCAAUCCCCUGGGCCUGUACUGACGCUCAUGCACGAAAGCGUGGGGAGCAAACAGGAUUAGAUACCCCGGUAGUCCCUGUCUCUUAUAC